rnacentral:rRNA from 1 species
AACGAACGCUGGCGGCAUGCCUAACACAUGCAAGUCGAACGAGACCUUCGGGUCUAGUGGCGCACGGGUGCGUAACGCGUGGGAACCUGCCCUUAGGUUCGGAAUAACUCCCCGAAAGGGGUGCUAAUACCGGAUAAUGUCUUCGGACCAAAGAUUUAUCGCCUUUGGAUGGGCCCGCGUUGGAUUAGCUAGUUGGUAGGGUAAAAGCCUACCAAGGCGACGAUCCAUAGCUGGUCUGAGAGGAUGAUCAGCCACACUGGGACUGAGACACGGCCCAGACUCCUACGGGAGGCAGCAGUGGGGAAUAUUGGACAAGGGGCGAAAGCCUGAGCCAGCAAUGCCGCGUGAGUGAUGAAGGCCUUAGGGUUGUAAAGCUCUUUUACCCGGGAUGAUAAUGACAGUACCGGGAGAAUAAGCUCCGGCUAACUCCG